AAUUUAUUGAGGGCGACGCACCGGUGCAGGCGCAGCCUUUAUCGCCGCCAUGUUUGACUGUCCACAAGUAGCGGGGAAGGAAUGGGAAUGGUGGAGAAUCUCCCAGAGCAUUCUCAGGGACAAUGAAAGUUUUCAUCACCACUACUCCCUCCCACACCAGGAACUUGAUGGAGCCUUUGGGGAAAGACUUGGCUGGCACAGCUCACACAGGGACUACGGACCUUUUCAGAGGCUUAAUUAAGGGCCACGUUGGAGUCCAGGAGAGGCGCAGGAAUGGCUGCCACCGCCGCCAUCGCCGCCACCAACACGACCGCCACUGGAGUCAUCAUCGCCAGUCUGGUUCAGGAGGCAACAGCUCAUCCUUCCAUCUUUGUUCUCUUAGCUCAGCUCCACCACACGCCACCACCCUUGAUCUUGACCCACAUUCCCAUCAUGAGCACCUUGGCGCCAGCGUGCAGGAGGCCGCUCGCUCCUCGCCGCUCCUUUAGCGUGACGUGCAACACACAGGCUUUGUGGCGCCCUUGCAGCACGACCCUAGGAGCCCCGAUCUUUCCC